GGUGGCUCAGUGGUAGAGAGCUUGCCUUGCAUGCAUGAGGCCCUGGGUUCAAUUCCUCAGCACCG
rfam:Dipodomys ordii contig_58893, whole genome shotgun sequence.